AGAGUGACAGAGCGGUUAUGUGGCUGCUUGAAACCAGUUUAUGGGGGUUGGACUCCCCCUUUUCCUG
rnacentral:tRNA from 1 species